UACGUAGGGUGCAAGCGUUAAUCGGAAUUACUGGGCGUAAAGCGUGCGCAGGCGGUUUUGUAAGUCUGUCGUGAAAGCCCCGGGCUUAACCUGGGAAUUGCGAUGGAGACUGCAAGGCUUGAAUCUGGCAGAGGGGGGUAGAAUUCCACGUGUAGCAGUGAAAUGCGUAGAGAUGUGGAGGAACACCGGAUGGCGAAGGCAGCCCCCUGGGUCAAGAUUGACGCUCGAUGCACGAAAGCGUGGGGAGCAAACAGG
rnacentral:rRNA from 1 species